GUGCACACGUGUGUGCAACAGGCCCUGCAAGGACAAGGGUGUGAAACAUGGCCUGGUGUGAAACCCUGCGCCCGCUGCAACACCCGGGGCUGGUGCUACACCCCGCAGUCGGUGCAACACCCUGCACCAGUGCAACAGCCCGGGCCUCGUGCAACACCCUGGGCCUUGUGCAACACCCUGCGGUCGGUGCAACACCCCGCACCUGAUGCACUGUCACCAGGUCGGUGCAACACCCUGCCCCUGGUGCAACACCUGGACACGGGGCAACAUCCCGCACGCGGUACAAUAUCUCAGGCCCCGUGCAACACCCUGCACCUGGUGAAAAUCUCCCUGUGCCUGGUGCAACACCCCCCGCACGGUGCAACACCCCACACCCAGAGCAACACCCCCCGCACGGUGCAACACCCCACAGCGGGUACAAACCCCCGCAGUCAGUGUAACAUCCCGCCCGUGGUGCAAUGUCCCAGUCACACCCAGUGCAACACCCCGCACCCCGUGCAACACCCCGUGCUCCGUGCAAUAUCCUGGUCCCCGGGUGAAACCCCGCACCCAGAACAAAACCCCGCACCCGCUGCAACACCCCACGUCCUGUGCAACACCCCAGACCCUGUGCAACACCCCGCACCGCUGCAACACCGCAGACCCUGUGCAACACCCCAUGUCUGGUGGAACACCCUACAGGAGGUACCACCCCACACCCGGUGCAGAGCCCACACCACCACAACACCCCACACGAGGUACCACCCCACACCUGGGCCAACACCCCACACGUGGUGCAACACCCCACACGAGAUACCACCCCACACCCACUGCAACACUCCACACGAGGUACCCCGCUACAGACGGUACAACACCCCACACGUGGUGCAGACCCCAUGCCACUCAACACGAGGUACCACCGCACACCCAGGGCAACACCCCACACCCGCUGCAACACCCCACACGAGGUACCCCCCUACAGAUGGUGCAACACCCCACAUGCGGCGCAGACCCCACACCACCACAACACCCCACACAAGGUACCAUCCCACACUCGGGGCAACACCCCACACGAGGUACCACCCCACAGACGGUGCAACACCCCACAUGCGGUGCAGACCCCACACCACCCCACACGAGGUACCACCCCACACCGGGGGCAACACCCCACACGAGGUAGCACCCCACAGACGGUGCAACACCCCACAUGCGGCGCAGACCCCACACCACCCAACAGGAGGUACCACCGCACACCGGGGGCAACACCCCACACCACCACAACACCCCACGCGAGGUACCACCCCACACCCGGGGCAACAGAGGUACCCACAGAGGUACAACCCCACACCCACUGCAACACCCCCCAGAGGUACAACCCUGCACCCGCUGCGACCCCCCAGGCGCGGGGCCGGGCGGGCACAAGCC
rnacentral:lncRNA from 1 species